rnacentral:lncRNA from 1 species
CAGCAUCAGAUACCUGGGCUACACAUACUGAGACAGAGAGGUGCUGUUUCACUGUCCAGACAGCAUCAGAUACCUGGUCUACACAUACUGAGACAGAGAGGUGCUGUUUCACUGUCCAGACAGCAUCAGAUACCUGGUCUACACAUACUGAGACAGAGAGGUGCUGUUUCACUGUCCAGACAGCAUCAGAGAGAUGCUGUUUCACUGUCCAGACAGCAUCAGAGAGAUGCUGUUUCACUGUCCAGACAGCAUCAGAGAGAUGCUGUUUCACUGACCAGACAGCAUCAGAUACAUGGUCUACACAUACUGAGACAGAGAGAUGCUGUUUCACUGUCCAGACAGCAUCAGAGAGAUGCUGUUUCACUGUCCAGACAGCAUCAGAGAG